UUGCUUCUCUUGAGAGCGGCGGACGGGUGAGUAAUGCCUAGGAAUCUGCCUGGUAGUGGGGGAUAACGCUCGGAAACGGACGCUAAUACCGCAUACGUCCUACGGGAGAAAGCAGGGGACCUUCGGGCCUUGCGCUAUCAGAUGAGCCUAGGUCGGAUUAGCUAGUUGGUGAGGUAAUGGCUCACCAAGGCGACGAUCCGUAACUGGUCUGAGAGGAUGAUCAGUCACACUGGAACUGAGACACGGUCCAGACUCCUACGGGAGGCAGCAGUGGGGAAUAUUGGACAAUGGGCGAAAGCCUGAUCCAGCCAUGCCGCGUGUGUGAAGAAGGUCUUCGGAUUGUAAAGCACUUUAAGUUGGGAGGAAGGGCAGUAACCUAAUACGUUAUUGUUUUGACGUUACCGACAGAAUAAGCACCGGCUAACUCUGUGCCAG
rnacentral:rRNA from 1 species